GGUGAGAUGGCUGAGGGGUUAAAGGCGUUCCCCUGCUAAGGGAAUAUAUAAGAAAUUGUAUCGAGGGUUCGAAUCCCUCUCUCACCG
rnacentral:tRNA from 1 species